rnacentral:rRNA from 1 species
UACAGAGGUCUCAAGCGUUGUUCGGAUUCAUUGGGCGUAAAGGGUGUGUAGGUGGCGCGCUAAGUCGGGUGUGAAAUUUCGGAGCUUAACUCCGAAACUGCAUUCGAUACUGGCGUGCUUGAGGACUGGAGAGGAGACUGGAAUUCAUGGUGUAGCAGUGAAAUGCGUAGAGAUCAUGAGGAACACCGGUGGCGAAGGCGGCCAUCUGGACCGCAACUGACGCUGAGGCGCGAAAGCGUGGGGAGCAAACAGG